ACAUUUUUGUAGACGUGGCUGCGGCGUGCAGUUGUGCUGUGCCGUGGAUUGCGCGCACUGGCCACUGAAUUCCUCAAAAUCUAUUAAAUGUUAAUUCUCAAAAUGCAUCAUUUUCUAGUUUAACAUGUUAAAAAGGUCCUGCUGUAGCUGUGUUGUAAUGUUGUUACUGUUAGUUUAAAAAGAUUUCAGAUUCUAUGUGUUUGGCAAAUGUAUCCAACAACUUGAAGUUGAAGUUACAAUCCUGACAAUGAUAAUGAUAUUGAACAAGACCAUGAUGAAGACACUGAAAUGUAAAUUCACUGAAACUGUAUCACUAAAAACUCAGCACACACAAUAUGCGCACACAAGGUACAGUGUCCAUCAGGCAUCCGAACCUUGGACUACAUUUGCUUUUGCUUAGCAUGGUGUUUAUGAGUUAAAGGACCAUAUCGUGAGGGAGCUGGCUUCACUACAUGCUACAAUGAAAUUGUGGAAAGUCAACAUGUAGAGAUCAGAGUCCAUGUUUGAAGAUGUGAUCAUUCAACUGAUGUGAAACAAACAGCUAAACAAGCUCCAUCAGGCAUCCGAACCUUGAACUACGUUUGCUUUUGCUUAAGAUGGUGUUUAUGAGUUAAAGGACCAUAUCGUGAAGGCGCUGGCUUCACUGCAUGCUACAGUGAAAUUGUCGAAGGUCAACAUGUAGAGAUCAGAGUCCAUGUUUGAAGAUGUGAUCAUUCAACUGAUGUGAAACAAACAGCUAAACAAGCUCCAUCAGGCAUCCGAACCUUGGACUACGUUUGCUUUGCUUAGCAUGGUGUUUAUGAGUUGAAGGACCAUAAUGUGAGGAGGCUGGCGUCACUGCAUGCUACAAUGAAAUUGUGGAAAGUCAACAUGUAGAGAUCAGAGUCCAUGUCUGAAGAUGGGAACAUUCAACCGACAUGUCACAGGAAGCAAGACAAGAUUACUGUUUAAAAAGAAUUGAAGCUGAAGAAAGUUAAUAUUAAGACCCUGCUGCCAUCUUAACCUCCAGAAGUUCAGACUGUUCAGCUUGCUGUCACUAGCUGAAGCGUUGCCUGUAAACAAUAAUGAUUUCUUGAAGAGUGGUCAAACAAAAAUGUCUACUACAGAUUGUGCUACGUAUGACUCUCUGGUUACAGAUCGGUCGAGAACGACUUCCUCUACUUCUCUUAUUAACUGUUCAUAAGUUUUAGCAUGACUCCAAGUUAAAUACAAUUCAUUAUCCAACAAGAAUUUCUGGACUAUGGAAAAAUAGAACAUGACAAAAUGUAGAAAAAUAUAACACCUUAAAG